AGAGUUUGAUCAUGGCUCAGGACGAACGCUGGCGGCGUGCCUAAUACAUGCAAGUCGAGCGAGCUUGCCUAGAUGAUUUUAGUGCUUGCACUAAAUGAAACUAGAUACAAGCGAGCGGCGGACGGGUGAGUAACACGUGGGUAACCUGCCCAAGAGACUGGGAUAACACCUGGAAACAGAUGCUAAUACCGGAUAACAACACUAGACGCAUGUCUAGAGUUUGAAAGAUGGUUCUGCUAUCACUCUUGGAUGGACCUGCGGUGCAUUAGCUAGUUGGUAAGGUAACGGCUUACCAAGGCAAUGAUGCAUAGCCGAGUUGAGAGACUGAUCGGCCACAUUGGGACUGAGACACGGCCCAAACUCCUACGGGAGGCAGCAGUAGGGAAUCUUCCACAAUGGACGAAAGUCUGAUGGAGCAACGCCGCGUGAGUGAAGAAGGGUUUCGGCUCGUAAAGCUCUGUUGGUAGUGAAGAAAGAUAGAGGUAGUAACUGGCCUUUAUUUGACGGUAAUUACUUAGAAAGUCACGGCUAACUACGUGCCAGCAGCCGCGGUAAUACGUAGGUGGCAAGCGUUGUCCGGAUUUAUUGGGCGUAAAGCGAGUGCAGGCGGUUCAAUAAGUCUGAUGUGAAAGCCUUCGGCUCAACCGGAGAAUUGCAUCAGAAACUGUUGAACUUGAGUGCAGAAGAGGAGAGUGGAACUCCAUGUGUAGCGGUGGAAUGCGUAGAUAUAUGGAAGAACACCAGUGGCGAAGGCGGCUCUCUGGUCUGCAACUGACGCUGAGGCUCGAAAGCAUGGGUAGCGAACAGGACUAGAUACCCUGGUAGUCCAUGCCGUAAACGAUGAGUGCUAAGUGUUGGGAGGUUUCCGCCUCUCAGUGCUGCAGCUAACGCAUUAAGCACUCCGCCUGGGGA
rnacentral:rRNA from 1 species